UGAAGGACAUGCUCCUGAAAUGGGUCUCAGAGAAAAGGGAGUAAUUUGUUAGGAAAUCAAGGUUUCUAAGUUUUGGAGAGAUUAAGAAUGUCUUAUAAGCAGAGUAAAUUCUGAAGAACUGUUGGAGAGACGUGGUGCUCCCUGUACAGGAAACCAGUUUAUUUAAAACCAUCCCCUAUG
rfam:Rattus norvegicus chromosome 5, whole genome shotgun sequence.